UUGGUUUGCCCAGUCUGAAAGCAAUAUUGAUUUCUUCUCUCUCUGCUCAUGGAUCCAGUACCAUUUAUGGACAGAAAGUCAUGGGUCAAAGGUUGCGCUUUCUGACAGACGUGGCUCCGCACAGGCUGGAUCCACCGUCUGGCUAAACCUGACUUCGUCUGUCUUGUUUCCAGUACUGCUGAGUAUGGAUACGCCUACCUCCGGGAAGGUGUUCUUCAUCUGGCCAGCUGUUAUGAUGGAGGGGUUUUUUCUUCAACAGGGAAAGAAUUCUCGUCACUCACCACAGUUGUUUUCUGUGGUCUUCCAGGACUUUUGGUCAUAAGCCGAUAAACUGCAGCUUGUCAAGUUAUCGAGAACCCUGAAAGCACAACCUGCUCUGGUCUGAAGACUCUCCCAUGGCCGAAAACUCACUGAUUGUUACAAAGUCCUUAGACCUUCUAUAAAUGAUAAAUAAACAUCUCCUUACAGCAAGUUUCACCAUAUUUAUUAGCCUUAGAUAAUGUAGAUCAUACCGAAUAGAAGUCCCUGUGAAUGCGGUUACUAUGGAAACAAUAAUGUAUUAGAAUGCUCAAAUUCAUAUAAACCUGUGGUUUUAAUUACAGCCAACACUAUUGUCAUGCUGUUAGAGAAAAUUAAUCAGCACCUUCUGACCUAUCAGAGUAGAUCAUUCAACAGCGCUGUGGUAGCAGUUAGAAUAAUAUAUUCGAUUUUGGAUGGGAGAGACCAUUUCCAAACUUUCCAUGCUUCUCUAAUCAGUGUGAGUUAUUAGAAAAACAAAAUAACACAUUUUUAGGAUUUGACAAUACUGCAGAAAUAAAUGACCCUAAUUGCACAGAGCUAUUAGAACCAAUUUAAUAAAGAUUCAGCCUCUGUGGUCACACUGAUACCAGUAAACAAUGCUAGUCCAAGGCAAAGGAAAUAAUCCUUAAAAUGACAGGAUGGACUUACUGAUAACAAACAAGCUGUCAGCAGACAGACUCUAAUUAAAAUCUGUAAUUACUUUUUUUCCUAAUGAAUCCUUGGUUGACAAUGAACAAAUUAAUAAAAGGGCCCAUGUGCUAAUAGUGCCCCUGCAGUAGCUCAGACUCCUGAGGGGCAGCUUGCUUUAAUGUAUGAAAUGAUAAUAAGCUAUUUAAUUCACAAGCAUCUUGGAGGACAUGGACGGAGGCAUGAGAUAUAAAAAGGACUGGAAAAUCCAUUCACAGGAACAAAAGGAACAAACUCAACCCAAAACACCGGUAACGAGCUGGUAAAAAAAAAUAAUAACUGUUGUAGUUUAAGCCUAUUUAUAUUGGAUGGUGGACAGACAGACAGACAGACAGACAGAUAGAUAGACAGACAGACAGACAGACAGACAGAUAGAUAGAUAGAUAGAUAGAUAGAUAGAUAGACAGACAGACAGACAGACAGACAGAUAGAUAGAUAGAUAGAUAGAUAGCCAGCAGCUAUACAUUUUACUUAUGCAUAUCCCUUAAAAAUAUGUUAAUAAUUAUAGAGUACUGACAUUUGAAUGAAAUGUAAAUCAUGAUGAUAUAAUACCAUUUAACAAAUCAACAAUAUGCCAUAUAAAAAAUGCUAUUUCUUUCAAAAUUCCACAGUAUUUUCUUUUGGUUAAGGAAAUUGUUAACAGUUGAUAAUAUACCAAUCUGAUUAUUUGUCAUGGUUACGCCGAAAACGGCGCGUGACUAUGAUUCCCAUCAGCCACUGCACCUCACCAGAUCACGCCACAUGCCUGUUUGCACCUGCGUCACGAGUAUUUAAGUCACGUCUUGCACCGAACUUGUUGUCUACCUUCUGUCUUUCGUUGUUGUUUGUUGUCAUGUUCUACCCUCUAGUCCAAGUGUGUCUUUUUGCCUUGAGAUCAUAGUUCAUGUUUUGGUGUCUAAGGUUUUCAU